rnacentral:tRNA from 1 species
GGCAGUGUGGCCUAAUGGAAAGAAUGUGGGCCUGGGAAUGAAAGCCAGGGUUCUAAUCCCUGCUCUGCCA